AGUGUCUAUUGUUUCCUUCUUUGUGUUUGUAAGUUCUCAUCAUUUACCUCCCAUUUAUAAGUGAGAAUAUGUGGUAUUUGGUUUUCCAGCAAUAGCUUGCUAAGGAUAAUAGCGUCUAGCUCCAUCCAUUUUCCUGCAAAAGAUAUGAUCUUGUUCUAAAUUCUGGCAAGAUUGGUCAAGAAAACAACAAAAAAGCGAUGAAGAUAAAUAAUGCAAAUAAGAAAAUGUUAUAAAUAAUUUUAAUCAUAUUUAAAUAAAAUUGUAUGUGAAGUAAUCUAGUUAUCAAAGAAGUAUGUGACCAAAACAUUCAAAAAGAAAUAGAAAAUCUGAAUGGUCCUAUAGCCAUUAAAAAUGUUGGUUUAUUAGUUAAAAGUCUUUCUUCCUUUCCACAAUACUCACCUGAGUUUGGACAGAUGCUAAUUCCAGGGUUACAUAAGCUUUUUCAAAAAACAGGGAAAAAAGUAGCAAUUCUCUUUUUAUUUUCUGAAUCUUAUACACUACAAACUUGUUAACAAAACUGGCAAGGAGAGUAAGAAUGAAAUUUAGAAGCUAGCCUCACUUAGGACAUAGCAAAAACAACCCCAAAACCUAGCAAUGUAUAAAACAGGUAACAUGACCAAAUUUGACUUAUUCUAGAAAUGCAAGGUUUAAUUAAUAUUAUAAAUUUGUCCAAAGUGUUUACACAUUAAUGAAAUUAUGUUACUACACAUAACAGGCCUUUGCAUUAUUGAUUUAGUAUAGUCUUAGUUAAAUCUGAGAAUGCCAGGUGUCUAGAGAGCAUGUUGAAUACUGAACUUCAGUUUUAAGUGGAAUACUGUGGACCAUAGUCGAUAGCACAAUUAUUUUUGAUUAAAGGGAGUCAGAUGGUCUCAGAGGUGGCAAAAGGUGACUUAGGUCUUGAUGAGUAAUAUUUUUAUCAGCAUGUUGGAGGGAACAGUAUUUCAGGUAGAAAUAGUGGAUGCUAAAGCAUGGCUGUGGCAUUUGGGAAUGGUAAGUUAUCUAGUUAGAGCAUGGUAAGGUCAUCUGGAAGUGGCAGGAGAUGACACAGAGAUUUGUGCCAAAUUGUGAAAGGCCUUGACUGUCUUUCUUCUUGCUAAGCAGUGGAAUUUAUCAGCCCACUGAGAGAAAUCCAGUUGAGAUUUUUGAGCCUUCCAUAUAUGGAAGUUGUCAUGUCUUUAAAAAUAACAUGUAUGACUUGUUUGCAUGCUUUUACAUGUAUGACUUAUUUGAAGUUAGGUGCUUUUCCUGCUUGGCUUUUUGUUUA